UACGUAGGUGGCAAGCGUUGUCCGGAAUUAUUGGGCGUAAAGCGCGCGCAGGCGGUCUCUUAAGUCUGAUGUGAAAGCCCCCGGCUCAACCGGGGAGGGUCAUUGGAAACUGGGAGACUUGAGGACAGAAGAGGAGAGUGGAAUUCUAAGUGUAGCGGUGAAAUGCGUAGAUAUUUGGAGGAACACCAGUGGCGAAGGCGGCUCUCUGGUCUGUUACUGACGCUGAGGCGCGAAAGCGUGGGGAGCAGACAGG
rnacentral:rRNA from 1 species